CAGGUGAAGCCACAUUCUUCGACUGCCCCCCCUCUCUCUCUUGCUCUCUCUCUCUCCGCGCGAUCAGCGCCACUCUGCCUUCUCUCUGUUUUUCUUUUCAGUUUUAGCUGCCGAACGCCCAUUCCUUCACGACCUCCCCCCACCCCUCCACGGCAUCCGACACGUCUUGCCUAGACCCCUCACCCUCUCCGCCCUCCUCUCAGGUGUAGCCGAGACAGGAUCAACGAAUCCUGAGGAGGUCUGCGCAACGCCUUUUCUCUAAAGCCUUAUAUAUACACCCACGCACAGCCACAGAGACGCGCGGGCUUGCUGCCUUUCCACCUUCUUUCCGCCGCCGCCGCCUCUGUGUUUUUCCCUCGCCAGCACACGUGCGUCUCGCUCGCUCACUCGCGCCGUCUCUGAUCUCGUGAGCGCUCGCGUGGAUGUGUGUGUCUCUGCAGUCGGCCGCGCAAACCUGCUGCUGCUGCUGCUACGCGUGGAUCGCACUCUUGGCGUGCCUGUGGUCGUCUUGAAGGGCGCUGCUUGCUUCCCACUGCUUUCGCUCGUCGUGUUGUGGGCCCGUAAGCAGAAUAACCGUGCGUCACCAGCGAUUCGCUCGCACGCACUCGACCAUCUGCAGCCCUUUUCCCCAACGGUUAGACGUACCCCGCACUCUACCCAGCUCUUCACGCGGAAGGGCCUCGAGGAGACAGUAUGCCGACCUUUAGCGACAUCAUGGCGGCGCGCAAGGCGCUGGACGGCUACGUUUAUGAGACGCCGAUCAUCGAGAGCAACGCCCUGCAUGGCAAGACGCGGCACGAGAGUGUCCUGCUCAAGUGCGAGAACCUGCAGCGCACCGGCAGCUACCACGUCCGCGGCAUGACGUACCGCGUGAUACGCGCCAAGGAGGAAGAUCUGGGCAUCAACAAUUUUGUUACCCACAGCAGCGGCAACGGCGGUGCAGCGCUGGCGUGCGCGGCGAGCAACUUCCAGAGCACGGCGCACGUCGUCGUGCCGGAGGACACAAACGCCCUCAUCACGCGCAGCAUUCGCCUCUACCACGGCAACUUCUACUACUGCAAGCCGGACCUGAAGAGCCGUGUCGAGAUGGAGGCGCGGCUCCACGCGGAGUUCAACAAGGUGGCUGGCAAGAAGCGCAACCAGUGCAUGCUCGUGAACCCCUACAGCGACGAGGCCAUCAUCGCCGGCCACGGCACGACCGGCAUCGAGAUUAUGCUCCAGACAGACUGCUCGGUGGACUGCGUUGUUAUCCCGGUCGGCGGUGGCGCACUGCUAGCGGGGGCGGCGAUCGCCGUGAAGGGCAUGAAGCCGCAUGUCGGCGUCUUUGCGGCCGAGCUGGCUGUGCCGCCGGAUCACUACACGGUUUUCAAGCGCGGCGAGGUCAUCGAGGCACGCAAGCUCAAGGGCGAUGAGAAGCGCCCCAAGGGCAACAAGCACGGCAUCCGAACGGAGCUGACGGACCUUGCGAACAGUUACAUUGACCGCUACGUCGACGGCGUCGUGCACGUGUCGAAGGAGGAGAUGUGCUACGCCUUCCGCUAUGUGUACGAACGUUGCAAACUCGUCGUGGACACGAAUGCUGCCAUCGCCGUGGCGGCGGUGCUGGCCUGCCCCCAGGAGCUGAGCAACUACCGCCGCAUCUGCAUUGUGCUUUCAGGGGGUAACGUGGACCUCAACGAUGUGCCGAAGAUUGCGACGGCGCGGCUGUGAGGUGUGUGUGCGUGGGUGUGUCAGAUGCCUGUAGCAGGCCUUUGCGCGUGAUCGCGCUCACGCUUGUUCCUCGUGCAGCGGCGGCGAUUGUAUCAGCGCCGCUUCUCUUUCUUGUUUCACCUCCCAGUGCCUGUGUGCGCGGCUGCUCAAGUCGUUGAAACAGCCGCACGGAUACACACACACACACACACACACACGCACACGCACGCACGCACGCACGCACGCACGCACCCAAGCAAUCUCCUCUUUUCGCCCUCGCCCUACCAUUCAAUCCGCUCACACCAGCACGCCGACUGGAACAAGCAGGGAGAGAGGAGGAGGGGGUGUUGAGAGCAAGGGAGGGAGCGCGCUGUGAGCGCAUCGGUGCAGCCGUUUGGGCGCGUCUCGCUCUCGCUCCAGACGCCUGUGCGUGUGUGCCAUGUGCGCGUGUGUGUGUGUGCCGGCGUCAAGACUGCGGAGAAGGACGAGUUCACACGCAUCAACGGCGGCAAAGGCUUAAAAGAAGUUAUGUAUACACAUAUAGCAACUUGUCAACUCUUUUACAGAGCAUGAGUUCAGUUUCACUCGACCCCACCGGGCCUGUCACAGGUGUCCGAUCGCGUGGUGCGGAGCAGCCCUAGACACACACGCGCUGUAGAAGUGCGCCAGCCCAGUCACCUUAGCACGGCCUCUGCCUCGAACCCUGCCCACAUGCCCGCCGCGCAGGUCGCUCCGACGCCGCACUAUCCAGGUCGUGACCGCUGACAUCCGCAGCGAUACAUCGCGCUGACCUCCCCCACGUCGUGGGCGCUCGACCUUGCCACCGCCAGAAGUGUUUGUGCCUUGGGUAGGGAUAGGGCGGAAGCGGGGGGGUGCUGGACCCUAAGACAUCACGCACUGAGAGGCGUGUGCGUGUGUGUGCGGGUGGCCUCCCCCCUCCCCCCGCCCCCACCCCACGUCAUCGAAGACGCCUCUGAGAAGGAAGGAACGAAGUGAGGCUGCAGUAGAAGACUCCUCCUUCCGCUGCUUUCCCCGAUUUUUCACUCGCUUCACCGUCCGCCAUUGCGCCUUGAUAGCGCAGCAGACGUCUGCCGGCCGAUCCGUGCCAGCGCAGGGCAUCUUGGCAUGAGACGCAGGACGCUGCUCGAUGCAUUGAGGCUUGUGGCGAGCCACCUGCUGUUUGCGGAGUACCCUGAUCAACCUCUCCGACUCUUGUCUGUUCCUUCAUUUGUUUCUGCUGCCUGUUAAGUGUUCGUUGUCCCGACCUCCUCUUCUUCCUCUUUCUUCCUCGCCAUCCUCACGCGUCCUCGCCGUUGUUGUGUUGCACGCUCACACGUGCAGGCGCACAUAUACGCGUACACACAAAUACAUACAUAUACGAGUGAGCGUGAGUCACCGAGCUGGCAUAUGUGUGUGCGUGUGCCUGUGCGUGUGUGUUCUGUACUCUUCUGCGGCUGCUGCAGGACCUCUUCCUCCCUCUCCCUUCUUCCACCCCGUCCCCUCGCAUCACAAGUCGGUUAUGUCUGCGUAGGACGAGCAAGACGCGAAACGCAGCGAAGCGGCGGCACUUUCGAGUUAGAACGUUAUCUUGUUUCUUGUUGGUGCCUCCCUGCCGCUCAUGCUGGAGGGGGGCUUGUCCAUUGAUACAUAACAAGCUAACGCAACUCGAUGACGAGGCACUGAGAGAAUGUGAGCGAGGGCCGACGCCGACGCCG
rnacentral:misc_RNA from 1 species